rnacentral:lncRNA from 1 species
GAUAGAUGAUUUUGCGUUGAAACUCUUUCUUCACCAAAGCACUGGUUGGAGGCUUAUCCUGUCCCAAUCCAAAUCCUAGCCGGUAUACAUCUCCAAACUCGGAUAGGCAAAGCAGACAACAAAUCCAUGAGGGGUUGAUUGUAGUCAUCGAAAGAAAGAACAGAAUCAACAUCAGAUUGAUCAAUUCCUGCACUCUUGAGGUCUAUGCAUGAGACCUUGAAGCCAGAGUUCUCCAUUAGGCACCUGAUUUUGUACCAGCACCAACCUCCUCCACCAACGCCAUGCACCAGCACAAAGUGCUGCUUCAAGGGAUCAAUUGUUCCUCUUGAAUCACCACUUUCCUCCCUCACUGACAUGGCUUUCUCUGCCUUCACCACCAUGAUGCUUCGCCCAGGUAAAAAAUGAAUGACUUUCUUGAACAAUUGGAAUCAAAUACCAAUGAAGAUGAUGAACUUAUGGAGCAAGCAUCUUAUGUGGUUGUGUUUAUUGGUGAAUAUGCAAUAAAACAUCUAUGUAAAGAGAUAUGUAGAACCAACAAACAAAUAGGGCAUGCAUGGGUGCAAGAAGUAUUGCAAGGUCAUCCUAUUCAUUGUUAUGAGAUGUUUUGUAUGGAAAAACAUAUUUUUUACAUGCUUUGCUCUAAAUUGGUUGAUCACGUGAAAGGAAAUAAGAACCUUCAAGAGAGGUUUUAAGA